CUUUCCCCGACGCUUGUGGCAUUUUUAUAUCAUCGCAUCUCUCUCUCUCUCUCGCUCGCUCCCCACCAACCGCCGUUCCUUCCUUGCAGAGGGACACUCCCAGGCGGACGGACCCCUCACUUACGCAAUCUCUCUCUCGGCUCCGAGGAGAGUGAAAAUGAGCAACCGAUUGAGCCGCACCAUUUAUGUUGGCAAUCUCCCUGGGGACAUUCGCAAAAGGGAAAUCGAAGAUUUGUUCUACAAGUAUGGCCCUAUUGUUGACAUUGAGUUGAAGAUCCCUGCAAGGCCACCGGGUUAUGCAUUUGUUGAGUUUGAAGAUCGUCGUGAUGCUGAAGAUGCAAUUUAUGGUCGUGAUGGAUAUGAAUUUGAUGGCUACCGGUUGCGAGUUGAACUUGCUCAUGGGGGACAGAGGUCGCCUGUGGACCGGUACCGGAGUUACAGUGGCAGCAGCAGCAGCAGCCGUUCAAGGCGUUCUGACUAUCGCGUAUUGGUCACUGGAUUACCUUCCUCAGCUUCAUGGCAAGAUCUGAAGGAUCAUAUGCGUCGUGCUGGAGAUGUCUGUUUUUCUGAGGUGUAUCCUGAUCGGCGUGGUGUGAUAGGAAUUGUCGAUUAUAGUAAUUAUGAUGACAUGAAAUAUGCGAUCAGAAAACUGGAUGAUUCUCUAUUCAGGAAUGCCUUCAGUCGAGCUUAUAUACGGGUCAAAGAAUAUGAUUCACAUCGAAGCCGCUCUAGAAGUCCCAGUCGUAGUCCCAAUUAUUCGAGGAGCCGCAGCCCCAGCUACAGCAACCGGAGUAGAAGCAAGUCUCCAAGGCCCAAGCACUCGCGACGGUCUCCAUCUGUGUCUCCAGCAAGGUCUGUUUCUCUGCGGUCACCUUCAAGUUCUGAGGGUCUUCAUUGGAGGAUCAGGGCAUCAUUUUGAUUGACGUUUGUUGUAGGUCCAGAUCAAGAUCAAGAUCUCCAAUAUCACCUUCAUACAGGAAAGAGGAACGCAGGGGACAGAGUCUGAGCAGAAGCCCCAGAAGGAGUGUAUCUCGGUCCGCCUCACCAUCUGGCAGGUCUGAUUGAACCGGUCAUUCCCAUAACAUCUUAACAUGCUCUUAGAGGGGGAGGAAGACUUGAUCUAUCAUUCUGAGGAACUAAGGCUAGUUAGAGUAUUUGAAUUGACAUCCUAGUGCAAUCAUUUUGACCCGCCAGCAGUUUGGUAUUUUUAACCCUGGCUGAAUCGAGCUUUAGUUAGUUAUACUGCGUUUUUCUCUUAAAACCAUGUCACUUGGAUUUUGCCUGGAGCCGAAGUCAGCCGCGGUUGCUAAUUUUCUGUGUAAUUAAUUAGCUAUGACAUAUAUUGAUGGGAGCGUGGCUACUCCUAUUGAACCUGCAUGCUUGAAA